UACGUAGGGGGCAAGCGUUGUCCGGAAUCAUUGGGCGUAAAGCGCGUGUAGGCGGCCCGGUAAGUCCGCUGUAAAAGUCGGGGGCUCAACCCUCGAAAGCCGGUGGAUACUGUCGGGCUAGAGUACGGAAGAGGCGAGUGGAAUUCCUGGUGUAGCGGUGAAAUGCGCAGAUAUCAGGAGGAACACCGAUGGCGAAGGCAGGUCUCUGGGC
rnacentral:rRNA from 1 species